UGCCUUCGUCACGCCGCGCAUUGUUUGCCACCGCCGAGAGUUCACUCUCGGGGUUGAUUUACUGUCCCGAGUUCGCUCACGAGCCACGGACGGCUGCCGACCCCGCAAAGAGCGUGUACCGAAAUUUUCGUCGAAAGAUCGUCGCUCUUCUGUCAUCCUGUUCCCACCCCGUUUUCUCCGGAGUCUCUGCGCUGAGAGAUGGCUUUGCUUGCUGGUACGAACCAUUAGAAGCAACUGCUCUUUAUCCACGUUUUCCUUACCACGUUUUAUUCUCGACUUUUGGACUCUAGUUUACCAGGAACAAAGAUUUCAUAAGUACAUUUAUGGUUACAUCAACUGAGCUGAUACCCACACUCGUCGAGACAACACGGAUCCUUGUUUUAUCCAUGUUCUCCACAGGACCGUUACUUGGUAUUUAACGGUACAACGCGGCACGGGCAUGGCAAAAGACAAAAAUGUGUAAUAAGAGAAGUGAUUUUCGUAAUACAAACGAUCAAAUUAAGAAUUAAUAUUUUCUCAAUAUUUUAAGUCUAUGUAAAACAAUACAGAGUGAAGCUAUAAGUAGGUAUAAACUCUAUAUUUGCAAUCUAUAUUUGCAAUAUAUAUCCAUUGAGUUUAACGUUCGUUUAUAUGUCAACGCCUAAGACAUCACUUGUAGGGCAACGUAAGCAGCCAAAUACAGUUUUGAAUCAGAUGA